AAGCUGCUGGAGGCUAGAUUGACCAGAAAAAUGGGGCCAAUAUCAUGAUUCCUCAGCAGUGCCUGGAGAAGACCAGGAGAGGAAGCAGAAGACCCUCCUCAAAGAAGCAGCCUUCACCUCCAGACCUCCCAGCGGGACUUAGACAAUGGGGUUAGGCAGUCACAUGUCUGCACGUGGAAACUUUCUGGGACUGUGCUUGGAUCCUGGCUCUGCCUUUUACUAGCCAUGUGACCUUGGGAAAAUCACUUGACUUCUCCGUGCAGGAUUCCUCAUCUGUAAAAAUGGUCUAAGAUUAGGAGCCACCUCAAGGUUGUUGUAGGAAUUAAAUUAAUUCAUGUUUAUAAAGUGCUUUGAACAGCGUUUGGCACAUGGUAAGUGCUAUGUGGUAAGUGCUGUCUAUUGAUUACAUAAAUAAAAG
rnacentral:lncRNA from 10 species